UUGCGUUAGGGAUUGUAACGAAAAUCCUUUUUCUUUUUUCAGAAAAAGAUUGUAGUGAAAAGCCCGACCCGAU
rnacentral:ncRNA from 2 species